AGCCCCGUAGUAUAGCGGCCAAGUAUGACUGCCUCUGGAGUGGUAGACCGAGGUUCGAAUCCUCGCGGGGCUACCA
rnacentral:tRNA from 1 species